rnacentral:rRNA from 1 species
UGGGGAAUUUUGGACAAUGGGGGCAACCCUGAUCCAGCCAUCCCGCGUGUGCGAUGAAGGCCUUCGGGUUGUAAAGCACUUUUGGCAGGGAAGAAAAGGCGCAGGAUAAUACCCUGUGCCGCUGACGGUACCUGCAGAAUAAGCACCGGCUAACUACGUGCCAGCAGCCGCGGUAAUACGUAGGGUGCAAGCGUUAAUCGGAAUUACUGGGCGUAAAGGGUGCGUCGGCGGUUUGGCAAGAAAGGUGUGAAAUCCCAGAGCUUAACUUUGGAACUGCACUUUUAACUGCCAGGCUAGAGUAUGUCAGAGGGGGGUAGAAUUCCGCGUGUAGCAGUGAAAUGCGUAGAGAUGCGGAGGAAUACCGAUGGCGAAGGCAGCCCCCUGGGAUAAUACUGACGCUCAGGCACGAAAGCGUGGGGAGCAAACAGG